CCCAGACUCCUACGGGAGGCAGCAGUGGGGAAUAUUGCACAAUGGGGGAAACCCUGAUGCAGCGACGCCGCGUGAGUGAAGAAGUAAUUCGUUAUGUAAAGCCCUAUCGGCAGGGAAGAAGGAGGACGGUACCUGACUAAGAAGCCCCGGCUAACUACGUGCCAGCAGCCGCGGUAAUACGUAGGGGGCAAGCGUUAUCCGGAUUUACUGGGUGUAAAGGGGGCGCAGACGGCAGCGCAAGCCAGGAGUGAAAGCCCGGGGCCCAACCCCGGGACUGCUCUUGGAACUGCGCGGCUGGAGUGCAGGAGGGGCAGGCGGAAUUCCUGGUGUAGCGGUGAAAUGCGUAGAUAUCAGGAGGAACACCGGUGGCGAAGGCGGCCUGCUGGACUGCGACUGACGUUGAGGCCCGAAAGCGUGGGGAGCAAACAGGAUUAGAUACCCCGGUA
rnacentral:rRNA from 1 species